UACUAAAACUCUUUUAUACUGUGAGAUUGGAUUUGAUUAUUUAUGAGUACAAAGAGCUUUAUAAUCCUUUUCUUAAACGGUGUGUUUAGCUGACUGUUCAAAUGAUAAUUUUGGCUGUAGGUCAAUAUGUUUUGCUUCAUAAAAUUGGGGAACUUAGAAACGAUACCUCAUAUCUACGGUUUGUUUGGCCUUCUCAUGGUGUGUUAAUUAUCUGUUGUGUAAGUGUGUUGUGUAGAAUCGUGUGAUUGUGUCAUACGUAUAAGCGUAUUUAGCAAUAAAACCAAAGAAAACUGUCCUUUCCUUUUCUUUAGCCGUGUGGGUCUGAGUCUUCAAACCUUUCAACGUCGUGGCUGUUUCUACAGUUAACGUCACAGAGUCAGCGGGAGGGAGUCCUGUUGGAACGAAGCGUCUGACUGUUUUUUCUAAGAAAACAGAUGGAGAGUAAACCCUAGCACACCGACUUGUUGAUUCUGGAACCCGAUGUGAGACGCUGGCCCCAAAUGACCUCGGGGACUUUCAGGGACCCAGGACUCACCCUUGAUUCAGUCCAACAGAACUUCCCAGAGACUGGACCGUGCUGGUGAUCGGUCCCGGGCGAUUCCAGAAUCCUCCUCAUCUGUGAUGCUCGGUGCCCCACGCGUGACAAACUCAUCCUGAUGUGGCCUCGAUUGAACUUCAGCUCAGAUACCAGACUUGUGAGUGUCCACAGAUGUGCUGGGGAGAAGGUUCCAGAAGUGAAGGCCGGCUCCCUCCAUUCCACUUUUGGCCAAAUUCGCUGAACCCACUGGCACCAAAAAUAGUCAUUGUUCUGGGGACAUGGUUUCCUCGAGUCUUUCGAAGUUUGCCCUUCCCUCCCCUUAGCCGGCGCAGGGCCGACCUUGACAUGAAGAAUCUUUCUUGAUUGAUGAGCUCUUUCAGAUGAGAAAGGUCGGAGAAAACAACUGAAGCGGCAUACAGCACCUGAGGAGGCGCAGGUGAACCACGCGGCCCGUUCACACACCUUACGUCUGUGGUCGGCGCUGUGGUGGGAGGGGCCGUGCGGCUGUUCAGUUACAGAUGAGGAAGCUGAGUGGCCAGCGGCCGGCAGUGUGGGGCCCAGAACGCAGGUCUUCUGGGCGUGGACGCGGCUCAGAAUUCGUUAGAUGAGCCUGAGACGGGCCAGGUCCGGAGGCAGCAGCUAAGCAGGGAGCAGCGUUUCUCGGGCCUGGACGAUGAACUGUAAGAGGAGGACACUUCUCCCUCUGCCCACUCAGGUCCACUGAGCUUAACCGAGAGCAAUGUGCCCAAAAGGCGGAAGUUUCGGUUCCUGAAUUCUAUCAGUUACUGAGGAUCAGGGCAAAGACAAGCCUUUCGAGGCGUGAAAUAGGUUAGAGGUUAUCACGAAAAUGGAGUCAGUGUCAGAAAAGUCAAG
rnacentral:lncRNA from 1 species